GGGUGGUUAGCUCAGCGGAAGAGCGUUCGCCUCACACGCGAAAGGCCACAGGUUCGAACCCUGUACCACCCACCA
rnacentral:tRNA from 1 species